rnacentral:lncRNA from 14 species
UUAUUUGGUUUUUUUUCUUAGGAAAAAAGGCAAACCAAACCCCACUCCCCCCCAGAAAAAAAACAUCAAAACUGAGCAACCUGAAAAAACCCCUCGUGUGCUCACUUCAGAGACUCAGCUAUUCCAGACUGCAGUCCAGGCAAUGGUACUGGGCAUCUGGAUCUCUGAUCUUUGUGGAGCCAGAAGCUUUGAAGGCAGUGAAUGACUUCCUAUCUGCUGGAAAAUCAUGCCGAUUCUCACUUCAUGAAUCUGCAACAGACAGAAUGGAUCCUUAA